rnacentral:lncRNA from 1 species
UUACGGUAUAAUUUCUCCUCUUAGGAUCGUAUGUCAUAUUCGAUAUCUAUCUAUCUAUGUCACAUAAGUCUUAGAUCAGAUACCUAAUUUGAGCACCCAAAAGAAAUAUCUCACAUUUUGGGAUCUCAUAUCUGGCUUGAUCAGGUUCACAUGAUUGUGGGGUAAUUAUGUUCAGUCAUUCAAAUCUGACCUCAUCUUAUUUUUUAUCAAGGUGAUACAUAUAAUAUUAAUAUAUAUGUGUAUUCUCUUGGUCACAAAACAAAUGUACAAGUGUCUUGUAUCA